rnacentral:lncRNA from 1 species
GGGAAGGGAAGUGCGUCCGUAGGGGAGGGCCCACCUCUCCAGGUUGAAACGACGGCGGUCAGAACCGCCUGAAGUAAAAACGGGUGGCACUGGGGCAGCGGAGGCGUAGCUCCCGAGAGUCUCACAGUUGUGCUCAGUGCCGCCUCACCCCUGGUGGAUCCGCGAUGGCCGCGGAUUCCCCUGGAUUGCCGGCGCUGAGCAGGAGCGCCACCUCUAAUCUCUCCCGAGGCUGGACGCCCGGUGCCAUCCACGCGCGUUGUGUCUUUCCGGGCGGUCCCUCGAAGCUGGCUACCCCGAGGGCUGUUGACUGCAGUGGGAUCUGGUCACUCAGAUGCGGAUAGAGGG